ACCACGUUUCUCACCGGCCGCGCGAUAAUGCGACCAAAGCCCUCUCAAACCCCUCUUCAUCACUCGCUUCCCAACCGCGAAUAACACGGACACGACAAUAGUAUCCUCGUAAGAUGUCUGUCACUGGUACAAGAAUACAGACCUACGAGGAUUUCGUCAAAGUUCACGGUCUGCUAUUGGCUGCCUCCGGACUACCUCGAUCGCUGCACUACAAACUGUUCGAGAAACUUGCUGCAGAGACCUUCGAUGGCGGCGCCUACUUCCAAGUCGAGCCGUGCGAGGAGGGCCGUCAGAGGCGGCUCGUCCUCACCUCCGACUCUAUGCCCGAAGUGUCCAACGUUUUUCUCGUCGACCAUGCCUGGACUUUUCGUCUCGCCGAUGCUUACAAACAGCUACAAGAAGUCCCAGGGUUGGCUCAGAGAAUGGCUUCUUUAAUGUGUGUAGAUAUUGAUUUGAAUUCUGAUGCUGAAGACGGGGAUGGAGUUUCACAAGAAAACAAUUCCAAAUUGAAUGCCAUGGAUGUGAUUGAGAACGAAAUUAAUGAUGCGAAAGUGAAAGGCUGUGAUGCUGUUAGGUGGGUGGAGCUUGAGGAGCUGGACGUUGAUGAUGAUAUGCUGCUUUCUCUUGAUUUGUCGAGUAAAUUUCCGGAUUUGCUAGCACUUAGCCUGUGUGAAAACAAGCUUGAGAGUGUAGAAAUAGUUGUGCAAGAAGUUACCAAGUUCAAAAAUCUAAGGGCUCUCUGGCUGAAUAACAAUCCACUUUUAAGAAACUGUAAUAGUCAUAUGGAAGAAGCAAUUGUCCAAGGUUGUCCAAGAUUGGAAAUCUACAACUCACAUUUCACCAGCAAUUUUGGUGGGUGGGCCUUGGGAUUUUGUGGAGGAGUGUAUGACAAGGAUAAUCCCGGCUGUGUCAAUCAGAGUGACUUUCAAUUGCAGAGUGUGACAUCUCUUGACCUUUCAAACAGAUGUAUUCGUUCUUUGGUUAACAAGGCAUUUUCUACUGUUGAGAUGCCAUCUCUUUCACAUUUGAAUAUUCGGGGAAAUCCAUUGGAGCAGAAUUCAGUUCAUGAACUAUUGGAAGUUUUGAAGGGAUUUCCUUGUUUACAAGCUUUGGAGGUGGAUAUUCCUGGUUUCCUUGGAGAUAGUGCCAUAGAAAUUGUUGAAUCUCUUCCCAAACUUACUUUGCUGAAUGGUGUUGAUGCAUCAAAAAUAUUGGAGACUGGCAACCAUGUGAUUGAUUCAAUACUUAAGCCCCGUCUUCCUGAAUGGACGGCCAAUGAGCCUCUUGCUGAUCGUGUUGUUAAUGCAAUGUGGUUAUAUAUAAUGACAUAUAGACUUGCAGAUGAGGAAAAAAUUGAUGAAACCUCUGUCUGGUAUGUGAUGGAUGAACUUGGUUCAGCUUUAUGGCACAGUGAUGAGCCAAAUUUCAGGGUAGCUCCUUUUCUCUUCAUGCCAGAGGGGAAGCUGGAAUCGGCUGUGAGGUUGUCCUUGGGCCUUUUUUUUUUCCUGAUUUGUGCACCUGUUUGCUAAUCUUCCCUGAACUUCACAUUCCUCUUGGAAGUAACUGCACAUAAAGUGUAUUCAUGUUAUAUGAUGUAGUGACCUUUUUGAAUUAAAAUAAAUAAAUAUACACAAGCUUGUGUUCUUCAGACAAGGGCACACAAAAAAGGUUUACAUGUUUUAGACAAAUGUAAUCCUAGUUCAUGAAAAUAAAUACUUUUUCUCUUCAUGCCAGAGGGGAAGCUGGAAUCGGCUGUGAGGUUGUCCUUGGGCCUUUUUUUUUUCCUGAUUUGUGCACCUGUUUGCUAAUCUUCCCUGAACUUCACAUUCCUCUUGGAAGUAACUGCACAUAAAGUGUAUUCAUGUUAUAUGAUGUAGUGACCUUUUUGAAUUAAAAUAAAUAAAUAUACACAAGCUUGUGUUCUUCAGACAAGGGCACACAAAAAAGGUUUACAUGUUUUAGACAAAUGUAAUCCUAGUUCAUGAAAAUAAAUACU
rnacentral:misc_RNA from 1 species